rnacentral:rRNA from 1 species
GAAGGUUGGGUAACACUAACUGGAGGACCGAACCGACUAAUGUUGAAAAAUUAGCGGAUGACCUGUGGCUGGGGGUGAAAGGCCAAUCAAACCGGGAGAUAGCUGGUUCUCCCCGAAAGCUAUUUAGGUAGCGCCUCGUGAAUUCAUCUCCGGGGGUAGAGCACUGUUUCGGCUAGGGGGCCAUCCCGGCUUACCAACCCGAUGCAAACUGCGAAUACCGGAGAAUGUUAUCACGGGAGACACACGGCGGGUGCUAACGUCCGUCGUGAAGAGGGAAACAACCCAGACCGCCAGCUAAGGUCCCAAAGUCAUGGUUAAGUGGGAAACGAUGUGGGAAGGCCCAGACAGCCAGGAUGUUGGCUUAGAAGCAGCCAUCAUUUAAAGAAAGCGUAAUAGCUCACUGGUCGAGUCGGCCUGCGCGGAAGAUGUAACGGGGCUAAACCAUG